rnacentral:lncRNA from 1 species
UGUCAGUCAACUCUUUAUUCAAAGCAACCAAAACAGUACAGGCACAGUAAUCCCAGCAACUCUUCCCAGUAGAUCUUGCCCCAAUGAGGCAGUUGCGAGGGCUGAAGGUCCUCACCUUCCUACAGCUGCCUAUCUCCUCUCCAGUGUUUGACCCAAGCCAUUGUAGACUGCAGUUGCACACAACCAAUCUCUGCUCUGCUCUCUUCAUUCCUCCGCAUGUUCUAGGAAAACAGGCUGAAGGGGAGCUUGUUGCUGCAGGAGUGGGAGACUCCCUGGCUUCUUCAGCAGCCUGCCUCAUCUCUGCCUUUUGACCUUCCUUCUCUCUAGAAGUAAGUUCCAUUGAACAAUGAAGACAUGCAUGGGCUUGUACCAAAGGCACCAACUUGAGAGGGAGAUGGGUGUGGGUGGG